rnacentral:rRNA from 1 species
UACGUAGGGCGCAAGCGUUGUCCGGAAUUAUUGGGCGUAAAGAGCUCGUAGGCGGUCUGUCGCGUCGGCUGUGAAAACCCGAGGCUCAACCUCGGGCCGCAGUGGGUACGGGCAGACUAGAGUGCGGUAGGGGAGAUUGGAAUUCCUGGUGUAGCGGUGGAAUGCGCAGAUAUCAGGAGGAACACCGAUGGCGAAGGCAGAUCUCUGGGCCGUAACUGACGCUGAGGAGCGAAAGCGUGGGGAGCGAACAGG